GCUGCCUCUAGAGGCGUUGCGGAUGUGGCUGCUGUGUCCCGUGUGCAUCAGUAGGUGGCAGACAGGAGAAAGGCUAUGUCUACACUCAGUUUUCUGACCUACAAAUAUCUGAAUGAUUAGUAGCCUAACACU